AGGUGCUUGGAGCUUCCCCCUGCCAAGACCUUAUCUGAUGUUGGGAAAGACUGUCUGACUCUGAGCAAGAAGUUUUCUUUGGAACAAAGGACCUGAUAUUUAUCCUGGAAUUAUUUUCUGCCUCUGCCUGCAGGCCCAUCUUCCACCAAGGACAGUGAGCUGAUGGGAAGGAAUGUCAUAAAAAAUUCCAAACAAUGCAUACCUUCUGAAAAGGAUCACAUGCUUUGGGUGAAACCCUGGUUUUUUUCCAUGAAAAUGCCUCUCCUUCUCCCACUCCAGGAUUUUACACUUUAGGAAUAAAGGAGCUCAGGAGUUGGGAAAGGACUGGUGAUGUGGAUGUAAUUCCUGUGGCAAAGGAAGCUCUGGAAGGGCUCAGCCUCCUCUCUCUCUGAACUUUGUGGCGAGCAGCUCAGGUCAGGCCUCCCAGCACACCUUUUACUGCUCGCGCACUUGGCCCACCCGAACCCUUCUGCAGGCACACCAGUGGUUUUAAGGGAGGUAAAACUGAGGUAACUCAGUGUGUUUUAUCUCCUGCCUGGCUCUGGUGGCACCAGGGGAACUGACCCUGUCCCUCUCUAUCGCUGGUGCAUGCGGAUGCUCGCGCGUCUCCAUCCCUCACCCAUGGCCCUGCCGUGCCCUUCCCCUCGUGCCCACGGGGGUCUUUUCAGCAGCCUCUUAUGAGGGGUCCUGUGACAGAGCUUCUGACAGUCCAAAAAAAAAAAUUCCCAGCUAAAACUCCUUUAGGACUUUUUCUGUGCAUGAGAAAAUGAGUUUCGCCUUUAAAAACGGCGAUUUUUCGCUCGCUGUUGUGUUUGGAAUAUUGGCAUAUUUUAAGGGCUGUUUCAAUUUGCUUGCAGCAAUAAGGUAAAUCCUGGCACAACAUUACUUAAUUUCAGACAUUUUCUAAAAAUCUAAGGCUGAGUCAUGUUUUUUAAGUGAGGAAAGCCAUGCAAUUGCCUGUGCUAGUGUGACAUCAUGGGUGUCGGAGUUAAGAGAACAAAGCUUCAUAAAGUAUCUUUUCUUCCCCUUAAGAGUUUGAUUUGAGGGAAUUUAUUAGGUCUUGCCUAGA